UAUCUUAUUGGUUUAAGACUAUCAAUGCGGCUUUCCCAACGCGUUUGAGACAACAGUUUAAGUGUAAUACAAUUCAUUGUUUCUCUACACUUCCCUAUUGUUGGUUGAAGCUGCAAAUAGACAAUAUAUUCGCUGAACAAUUC
rnacentral:sRNA from 1 species